UGGCUCAGGACGAACGCUGGCGGCGUGCCUAAUACAUGCAAGUCGAACGAACUCUGGUAUUGAUUGGUGCUUGCAUCAUGAUUUACAUUUGAGUGAGUGGCGAACUGGUGAGUAACACGUGGGAAACCUGCCCAGAAGCGGGGGAUAACACCUGGAAACAGAUGCUAAUACCGCAUAACAACUUGGACCGCAUGGUCCGAGUUUGAAAGAUGGCUUCGGCUAUCACUUUUGGAUGGUCCCGCGGCGUAUUAGCUAGAUGGUGGGGUAACGGCUCACCAUGGCAAUGAUACGUAGCCGACCUGAGAGGGUAAUCGGCCACAUUGGGACUGAGACACGGCCCAAACUCCUACGGGAGGCAGCAGUAGGGAAUCUUCCACAAUGGACGAAAGUCUGAUGGAGCAACGCCGCGUGAGUGAAGAAGGGUUUCGGCUCGUAAAACUCUGUUGUUAAAGAAGAACAUAUCUGAGAGUAACUGUUC
rnacentral:rRNA from 2 species